CUGUAGAGCAGGAAAGCAGGGGGACCGCAAGGCCUUGCGCUCUUUGAGCGGCCGAUGUCAGAUUAGCUAGUUGGUGAGGUAACGGCUUACCAAGGGCGACGAUCUGUAGCGGGGUCUGAGAGGAUGAUCCGCCUACACUGGAACUGAGACACGGUCCAGACUCCUACGGGAGGCAGCAGUGGGGAAUUUUGGACAAUGGGCGCAAGCCUGAUCCAGCCAUGCCGCGUGAGUGAAGAAGGCCUUCGGGGUUGUAAAGCUUCUUUCGGCCGGGAAGAAAUCGCAUGGGUUAAUACCCUGUGUGGAUGACGGUACCGGAAUAAGAAGCACCGGCUAACUACGUG
rnacentral:rRNA from 1 species